GUGAGUGAUGUAAUGCUUUAGAGUAAAUAUUGAUAUGUUCAGAAGAUGUUAUGGUGGGAAACCUGCUCUUUUUAAAUCUCAAACUGUGAAGUCAUUUGGAGUCAGUGGCCCUCCUGUUUGAUUUUUUUCCAGUGUCUUAACACAUCAAGCUGGAGCUGAUCCCUUUAUAUCCUGCUAAUCUCUUAUAUAUGCUGAAGUAGUAACUGUGGAGCUAGAGGCUUCUGAUAGAUAAAAAGGAGCACUAUUGAUCUUGCUGAUACAGACACUUCCACACAGGGCUUUGAAGUUGUGAUCGUUCUGGAGAAGAAAUACAUCGAGUGAUGCAUGUUGGCCCCCAGCAAGGGGCUGAAAACGAUGCAGUCAGUGCAGCAAGGAGGCGCGUUGCCCCUCCAGCCGGGAUGUGGUAGGAGUGUGCUCACAGAUCUGGAUGCUUGGUUCUUCUCAUUUUUGUCUAGCCCAUGUUGCUGGAGAGCUUGUG
rnacentral:lncRNA from 1 species